UGCAGUCGAGCGGCAGCACAAGGAGAGUUUACUUCACUGAGGUGGCGAGCGGCGGACGGGUGAGUAAUGCCUAGGGAUCUGCCCAGUCGAGGGGGAUAACAGUUGGAAACGACUGCUAAUACCGCAUACGCCCUACGGGGGAAAGAGGGGGACCUUCGGGCCUCUCGCGAUUGGAUGAACCUAGGUGGGAUUAGCUAGUUGGUGAGGUAAUGGCUCACCAAGGCGACGAUCCCUAGCUGUUCUGAGAGGAUGAUCAGCCACACUGGGACUGAGACACGGCCCAGACUCCUACGGGAGGCAGCAGUGGGGAAUAUUGCACAAUGGGGGAAACCCUGAUGCAGCCAUGCCGCGUGUGUGAAGAAGGCCUUCGGGUUGUAAAGCACUUUCAGUAGGGAGGAAAGGGUGAGUCUUAAUACGGCUCAUCUGUGACGUUACCUACAGAAGAAGGACCGGCUAACUCCGUGCCAGCAGCCGCGGUAAUACGGAGGGUCCGAGCGUUAAUCGGAAUUACUGGGCGUAAAGCGUGCGCAGGCGGUUUGUUAAGCGAGAUGUGAAAGCCCUGGGCUCAACCUAGGAAUAGCAUUUCGAACUGGCGAACUAGAGUCUUGUAGAGGGGGGUAGAAUUCCAGGUGUAGCGGUGAAAUGCGUAGAGAUCUGGAGGAAUACCGGUGGCGAAGGCGGCCCCCUGGACAAAGACUGACGCUCAUGCACGAAAGCGUGGGGAGCAAACGGGAUUAAAUACCCUGGUAGUCCACCCCGUAAACGAUGUCUACUCGGAGUUUGGUGUCUUGAACACUGGGCUC
rnacentral:rRNA from 1 species